rnacentral:rRNA from 1 species
CCUUAUACUGGAGCAUAGCCUUGGGAAACUAAGAUUAACUCUCCAUAACAUAGUGAAGCGGCAUCGCUUUACUAUUAAAUCUCCGGAGGUAUAAGAUGAGUGUGCGUCUGAUUAGCUAGUUGGUGAGGUAACGGCUCACCAAGGCAACGAUCAGUAGCUGGUCUGAGAGGAUGAUCAGCCACACGGGCACUGAGACACGGGCCCG